rnacentral:rRNA from 1 species
AACGAACGCUGGCGGCAGGCUUAACACAUGCAAGUCGAACGCACUCUUCGGAGUGAGUGGCAGACGGGUGAGUAACGCGUGGGAAUCUACCCAGUCCUUCGGAAUAGCUCCUGGAAACGGGAAUUAAUACCGGAUACGCCCUUUUGGGGAAAGAUUUAUCGGGAUUGGAUGAGCCCGCGUAAGAUUAGCUAGUUGGUGGGGUAAUGGCCUACCAAGGCGACGAUCUUUAGCUGGUCUGAGAGGAUGAUCAGCCACACUGGGACUGAGACACGGCCCAGACUCCUACGGGAGGCAGCAGUGGGGAAUAUUGGACAAUGGGCGCAAGCCUGAUCCAGCCAUGCCGCGUGAGUGAUGAAGGCCUUAGGGUUGUAAAGCUCUUUCACCGGUGAAGAUAAUGACGGUAACCGGAGAAGAAGCCCCGGCUAACUUCGUGCCAGCCGCCGCCGUAA